AUAAAUUUAUUGAUUUAAGUUAACAGACAAUAAUUAAUUUGUAAAUAAAUAUGUAUUAUAGAUUUGCUUCACAAUUCCAGAGACUACUGUAUUUGCAGAGUAUCGAAAAGUCUAUAUAUUCAUAUACACACAUAUGUAUAUAAUUCUUCUCUUCAAAUUCUCUUUCUCUUGUAUUUACUUAUGUGUAUGUGUGUGCGAGAGAGUGUGCCUUUGUGUGCGUUUAUUUAGAUGAUCUAUGAAACUGUUUGUUAUUGUUGUUGCUAUGUGUUUUGUUUGUUUUUACAUUUUGAUUACAGAUUGUGAGUAAAUUGGCAAGUUCAUUAAACCGGCUUCGCUUAUCGCUCAGCAACAACAAAAAUGCGUACAAACUUAAACAAAAAAGUAGAAGAAGAAGAGCCACAACAAAAGCAGCAGCACGCCAUAGGCGCAGUAACAAUGGAAGCGAGUAGUUGUAGAGGAAGGCGAAGGGGGUCAAAAAGUGAGCGAACGAACGAGGAUAAAGACAAAUAAACGAUAUCGAAAAUGCAGUUUGGCCUUGAUGAAUGGACACGAGGAAGCAAAGUGCAUAAAUAAAUAUCUGUGGCAGAGCGAUAACAACAACAGUACGAAGUAGAAAAAACAAAAACAAUAUCAGCAAAUGAAACUCCUGCGAUGGCGGCUAGGCCAGACGAAAUAACAACAAAGUUUUUGCUUUUGACGGCGAAAAAGAGAUGCGAAAUGAGGCCAAUUGGCAAAAUGCCAAACGGCGACGAAGCAAUACACAGAGGACACAAAAGACACCACCAAGACGAGGCGACAAAGCGACAAGACGACGUUACGUCGCGAUGUCGAUGUCGACUUCGCUGUCGCUUCGUCGCUGUUAUCGUCUUUAGGGCAGGCUGCAUACUAUUUAUAACAAAUAAAAAAAAAAUCACAUCCCAUUGCGUUUGCAUCUGAAUGUUUGCGCAUUGGGUAUUUAUGCUGCUGCAGCUGAUUACGUUACGCACUUACCCCAUCAACCAGUCGACCGUGUCGCGCAAAUACUCCGGAAUACGCUCCAGUUUGACGGCUGCUCGAUGCUCACUGCUGAUGAUGCCUUUCGCCAAAUAUAUAUUUUUGUAGUUUUUGUUCUACUUCAGCUAACACCAACAGCACCGCCAACAACAACA